AUGGAAGCUGAGAAGUUUGCAAGAACCCCGUUGCUCAAAGCUGGAAAAAAAUCUAGAAAAGCAGAAAUCGAGACUCUUGGGAUGCUCUGCAAAAUGGGACUGCAUUUUCAUGUUGUGCUGAUAAGCAAGAGGAGGCCUGGGAGCGUUGGUGGGUGGUUUUGGUGUCUCCAUCGGCUGCUGCAGUACAGACAUCAUGGACAGCAUGAUCCAGCAAAGCCCUCUUCCCAAAACCAGCACCCUGAGUCCCCCUGCGAUGGGUUGGUGGGACAUCAGAAGCCAGAACUUGAUAAAUUCAUGGAAGUGUUAUGCAAUGGUGUGUGCCCUGGAAUAGGUGACUCACGACGUUCACGGAUGAACCUGCAGCUACAGGUGGGACAUACAAUGUGCCCUGUGAGCAGCUGAUGCCCAUCUGGAGUAACUGGUGUGAAUGAAGUUGUUAUAAAGCUACAGCAGCAGUGCUAGGAGCAGCUCUGGUUUUUCCCCCAGACAAGAAAAGGAUUUUCCCCUCUGCCUGCUCCAGUGAUGGAAAGGAUGAGGUGUCUGCAGGAGUUCAUGGACCGUGCCGAGGGGAGGCCUCCAGGUCUCCUCACCGCAGUGUUUUGUGUCUGCCCACCUCCUGAAGUGGUUCAGUAAAUCAACAAGGCUCCCCUCUGUGCCUGCUGAAACCCCUGCAGCCGCCUCGCACAGAGUUGAGGUGGUCAGGGGGGUUAAUUGACUCUGACAAAUAUUUACCUGUUUCUCUGGCUUUGCAGAAACCUCCCUCCAGCCCCGGCUUUGAAGUUCAGUUCAAAGCCCCAGCAACACUGACGUCUUGGGAGGAUCGAGCUCUCCCCAGCGUGCAAAAGCUCUCCUUUAAAAGGAGGGAAACUGCAAUCCCCCCAUUCAACUCCUUGGGCACCAGGUGCAGUCCUGGGAUUUUCCAUCAUCUCACAGGGUCCUGAUCAUCUUCCCACCCCAGAGCAAGAUCUGCUCUGCCAGUUCUUUGGGGCCUGCAUUAAAUAAUCAGCCCAAAGAAAGGUCUUGUUCCAGCAAAGAGGCAGAACAUGUUACACAUGUAUUUUUGUUCCUAACCUCCAAAUGGUGUCAACAGAGAUUGGGCUGAGUCUCACAUCUGUGGUGGACUUAUAUUUUAAAAAAAAAUCAUGUUUGAACUGUACAAAUAAACACUUGUGAGAAGAAUCCUGUUUCUUUAAG
rnacentral:lncRNA from 1 species